CGCGGCCUAUCAGCUUGUUGGUGAGGUAACGGCCCACCAAGGCGACGACGGGUAGCCGGCCUGAGAGGGUGACCGGCCACACUGGGACUGAGACACGGCCCAGACUCCUACGGGAGGCAGCAGUGGGGAAUAUUGCACAAUGGGCGCAAGCCUGAUGCAGCGACGCCGCGUGAGGGAUGACGGCCUUCGGGUUGUAAACCUCUUUCAGCAGGGAAGAAGCGAAAGUGACGGUACCUGCAGAAGAAGCGCCGGCUAACUACGUGCCAGCAGCCGCGGUAAUACGUAGGGCGCAAGCGUUGUCCGGAAUUAUUGGGCGUAAAGAGCUCGUAGGCGGUCUGUCGCGUCGGAUGUGAAAGCCCGGGGCUUAACCCCGGGUCUGCAUUCGAUACGGGCAGACUAGAGUGUGGUAGGGGAGAUCGGAAUUCCUGGUGUAGCGGUGAAAUGCGCAGAUAUCAGGAGGAACACCGGUGGCGAAGGCGGAUCUCUGGGCCAUUACUGACGCUGAGGAGCGAAAGCGUGGGGAGCGAACAGGAUUAGAUACCCUGGUAGUCCACGCCGUAAACGGUGGGAACUAGGUGUUGGCGACAUUCCACGUCGUCGGUGCCGCAGCUAACGCAUUAAGUUCCCCGCC
rnacentral:rRNA from 1 species